GACAGAGGGUGCAAACGUUGUUCGGAAUUACUGGGCGUAAAGCGCGUGUAGGCGGCCCGGAAAGUCAGAUGUGAAAGCCCUGGGCUUAACCUAGGAAGUGCAUUCGAAACUCCCGUGGCUUGAGUUCUGGAGAGGGAAGCGGAAUUCUCGGUGUAGAGGUGAAAUUCGUAGAUAUCGAGAGGAACACCGGUGGCGAAGGCGGCUUCCUGGACAGUGACUGACGCUGAGACGCGAAAGCGUGGGGAGCAAACAGG
rnacentral:rRNA from 1 species